rnacentral:rRNA from 1 species
UACGUAGGGUGCAAGCGUUAAUCGGAAUUACUGGGCGUAAAGCGUGCGCAGGCGGUGAUGUAAGACAGGUGUGAAAUCCCCGGGCUCAACCUGGGAACUGCAUCUGUGACUGCAUUGCUGGAGUGCGGCAGAGGGGAUGGAAUUCCGGCGUGUAGCAGUGAAAUGCGUAGAUAUGCGGAGGAACACCGAUGGCGAAGGCAAUCCCCUGGGCCUGCACUGACGCUCAUGCACGAAA